rnacentral:rRNA from 1 species
AGUGAACGCUGGCGGUAGGCCUAACACAUGCAAGUCGAACGGCAACACAGGAAGAUCUUGCUCUUACGGGUGGCGAGUGGCGGACGGGUGAGGAAUACAUCGGAAUCUACUUUUUCGGGGAGGAUAACGUAGGGAAACUUACGCUAAUACCGCAUACGACCUACGGGUGGAAUCAGGGGAUCUUCGGACCUUGCGCGAUUGUAUUAGCCGAUGUCGGAUUAGCUAGUUGGCUUGGUAAAGGCACACCAAGGCGACGAACCGUAGCUGGUCUGAGAGGAUGAUCGGCCACACUGGAACUGAGACACGGUCCAGACUCCUACGGGAGGCAGCAGUGGGGAAUAUUGGACAAAGGGCGAAAGCCUGACCCAGCCAUACCGCGUGAGUGAUGAAGGUCUUCGGGUUGUAAAGCUCUUUUGUUGGGAAAGAAAAACAGCGGGUUAAUACCUCGCCGUUCUGACGGUACCCAAAGAGAAAGCCACGGCUAACUACGUG